UGCUUAUAAGAGCGUUUGAGGUCACCCACUUAAUAACAUUAGUACUUUUUAUUGAAAUCACUUGGGUUUCUGUGGAAACUCAAGGACAUAAAGGCAAAAGUUUGAGUCUUUGUUCUAUAAUUAUGUUGGAUUGAAAAUUUGGUGCCUUUGUUCUUUCUUGCAUGUGCUUGGAAUAACAAUGAAAAUUUCCUUUCAUUGUUUUUUGGUUGUUGAAGGGUUUGAGCAUGAGGAAAAAGGUGAUUUUGCAACCUCACCAAAGCAUUUCAAAGUUGCUUGGGUGAAGCUGAUGACUGUGUGCAUUGCAGGACCACAACAAAAUGGUGCAAUUACAUCUAUUCGUGGACUUUGAAAUAGAAACAAGGCUUUUGAAUUGGUAAUGGCAGCUGACUGUUUGUGCUUGAAUAAAGGCUUGCCAUUGCCCUUGCUACUGUUGUGGGACAGAGCCAGUGUAUAUGUACAGAAGUUGCGAACAACACAGAAUGUUGACUGACUUUGAAGGUGCUACAAGAAAAAACGAAGUAGGGUUCCGCAUUUGGACUAGCAAAGAGG